UAAGAGGAUAUAUACUGUACCAGUUUCUA
rnacentral:piRNA from 1 species